rnacentral:rRNA from 1 species
AGAGUUUGAUUAUGGCUCAGAUUGAACGCUGGCGGCAGGCCUAACACAUGCAAGUCGAGCGGCUGCACAAGGGAGUUUACUCCUGAUGUGGCGAGCGGCGGACGGGUGAGUAAUGCCUAGGGAUCUGCCCAGUCGAGGGGGAUGACAGCUGGAAACGACUGCUAAUACCGCAUACGCCCUACGGGGGAAAGGAGGGGACCUUCGGGCCUUCCGCGAUUGGAUGAACCUAGGUGGGAUUAUCUAGAUGGUGAGGUAAUGGCUCACCAAGGCGACGAUCCCUAGCUGUUCUGAGAGGAUGAUCAGCCACACUGGGACUGAGACACGGCCCAGACUCCUACAGGAGGCAGCAGUGGGGAAUAUUGCACAAUGGGGGAAACCCUGAUGCACCCAUGCCGCGUGUGUGAAGAACGCCUUCGGGUUGUAAAGCACUUUCAGUAUGGAGGAAAGGGUGUAGUUUAAUACGCUAUAUCUGUGACGUUACCUACAGAAUAACGACCGGCUAACUCCGUGCCAGCAGCCGCGGUAAUACUGAGGGUCCGAGCGUUCAUCGGAAUUACUGGGCGUAAAGCGUGCGCAAGCUGUUUGUUAAGCGAGAUGUGAAAACCCUGCGCUCAACCUACGAAUAGCAUUUCGAACUGGCGAACUAAAGUCUUGUAGAGGGGGGUAAAAUUCCAGGUGUAGCAGUGAAAUGCAUAUAUAUCUGGAGGAACACCAGUGGCGAAUGCGACCACCUGGACUGAUACUGACACUGACGUGCGAAAGCGUGGGGAGCAAACAGGAUUAGAUACUCUGGUAGUUCACGCAGUAAACGAUGUCAACUAGCCGUUGGGUUCCUUGAGAGCUUAGUGGCGCAGCUAACGCAUUAAGUUGACCGCGUGGGGAGUACGGCCGCAAGGUUAAAACUCAAAUGAAUUGACGGGGGCCCGCACAAGCGGUGGAGCAUGUGGUUUAAUUAGAAGCAACGCGAAGAACCUUACCUGGCCUUGACAUGCUGAGAACUUUCCAGAGAUGGAUUGGUGCCUUAGGGAAGUCAGACACAGGUGGUGCAUGGCUGUUGUCAGCUCGUGUCGUGAGAUGUUGGGUUAAGUCCCGUAACGAGCGCAACCCUUGUCUUUAGUUACCAGCAUGUAAUGGUGGGCACUAUAAGGAGACUGCCGGUGACAAACCGGAGGAAGGUGGGGAUGAUGUCAAGUCAUCAUGGCCUUUAUCGGCCAGGGCUACACACGUGAUACAAUGGUCGGUACAAAGGGUUGACAAGCCGUGAGGUGGAGAUAAUCCCAUAAAACCGAUCGUAGUCCGGAUGGCAGUCUGCAUCUCGACUGCGUGAUGUAGGAAUCGGUAGUAAUCGUGAAUCAGAAUGUCACGGUGAAUAUGUUCCCGGGCCUUGUACACACUGCCUGUCACACCAUGGGAGUGGGUUGCUCCAGAAGUAGAUAGUAUAACUUUGGGGGGGACGGUUACCACGGAGUGAUUCAUGACUGGGGUGAAGUCGUAACAAGGUAACCG